rnacentral:rRNA from 1 species
CCUACGGGAGGCUGCAGUGGGGAAUAUUGCACAAUGGGGGAAACCCUGAUGCAGCGACGCCGCGUGAGUGAGGAAGUAAUUCGUUAUGUAAAGCUCUAUCAGCAGGGAAGAAAAUGACGGUACCUGAGUAAGAAGCCCCGGCUAACUACGUGCCAGCAGCCGCGGUAAUACGUAGGGGGCAAGCGUUAGCCGGGUUUACUGGGGGUAAAGGGGGCGUAGACGGCAGUGCAAGUCUGGGGUGAAAGGCGGGGGCUAAACCCCCGGACUGCUCUGGAAACUGUACGGCUGGAGUGAAGGAGAGGUAAGUGGAAUUCCUAGUGUAGCGGUGAAAUGCGUAGAUAUUAGGAGGAACACCAGUGGCGAAGGCGGCUUACUGGACUGUAACUGACGUUGAGGCUCGAAAGCGUGGGGAGCAAACAGGAUUAGAUACCCUGUAGUC